UGCAAGUCGAGCGGAACGAUGGUAGCUUGCUACCAGGCGUCGAGCGGCGGACGGGUGAGUAAUACUUAGGAAUCUACCUAGUAGUGGGGGAUAGCUCGGGGAAACUCGAAUUAAUACCGCAUACGACCUACGGGAGAAAGGGGGCAGUUUACUGCUCUCGCUAUUAGAUGAGCCUAAGUCGGAUUAGCUAGAUGGUGGGGUAAAGGCCUACCAUGGCGACGAUCUGUAGCUGGUCUGAGAGGAUGAUCAGCCACACCGGGACUGAGACACGGCCCGGACUCCUACGGGAGGCAGCAGUGGGGAAUAUUGGACAAUGGGGGAAACCCUGAUCCAGCCAUGCCGCGUGUGUGAAGAAGGCCUUUUGGUUGUAAAGCACUUUAAGCAGUGAAGAAGACUCCGUGGUUAAUACCCACGGACGAUGACAUUAGCUGCAGAAUAAGCACCGGCUAACUCUGUGCCAGCAGCCGCGGUAAUACAGAGGGUGCAAGCGUUAAUCGGAAUUACUGGGCGUAAAGGGAGCGUAGGUGGCUCGAUAAGUCAGAUGUGAAAUCCCCGGGCUCAACCUGGGAACUGCAUCUGAUACUGUUGAGCUAGAGUAUGUGAGAGGAAGGUAGAAUUCCAGGUGUAGCGGUGAAAUGCGUAGAGAUCUGGAGGAAUACCGAUGGCGAAGGCAGCCUUCUGGCAUAAUACUGACACUGAGGCUCGAAAGCGUGGGUAGCAAACAGGAUUAGAUACCCUGGUAGUCCACGCCGUAAACGAUGUCUACUAGUCGUUGGGUCCCUUGAGGACUUAGUGACGCAGCUAACGCAAUAAGUAGACCGCCUGGGGAGUACGGCCGCAAGGUUAAAACUCAAAUGAAUUGACGGGGGCCCGCACAAGCGGUGGAGCAUGUGGUUUAAUUCGAUGCAACGCGAAGAACCUUACCUGGUCUUGACAUAUCUAGAAUCCUGCAGAGAUGCGGGAGUGCCUUCGGGAAUUAGAAUACAGGUGCUGCAUGGCUGUCGUCAGCUCGUGUCGUGAGAUGUUGGGUUAAGUCCCGCAACGAGCGCAACCCUUGUCCUUAGUUACCAGCGGGUUAAGCCGGGAACUCUAAGGAUACUGCCAGUGACAAACUGGAGGAAGGCGGGGACGACGUCAAGUCAUCAUGGCCCUUACGACCAGGGCUACC
rnacentral:rRNA from 1 species